UACGGGGGGGGCAAGCGUUGUUCGGAUUCAUUGGGCGUAAAGGGUGCGUAGGUGGCGCGGUAAGUCGGGUGUGAAAUCUCGGAGCUUAACUCCGAAACUGCAUUCGAUACUGCCGUGCUUGAGGACUGGAGAGGAGACUGGAAUUUACGGUGUAGCAGUGAAAUGCGUAGAGAUCGUAAGGAAGACCAGUGGCGAAGGCGGGUCUCUGGACAGUUCCUGACACUGAGGCACGAAGGCCAGGGGAGCAAACGGG
rnacentral:rRNA from 1 species